CGUGGAAGGGUUGCUAAGCGACGGCGGAGAAAGGCGAGGCCUACGCGGUUGCAACAACAACCUUGAUCCCAAAGUCACUCAUAGCAUGAAUAAGAUCACAAGAGACUCCCGGUGACAAAGCAGCCACCGUACUAGGUAAAAGAGGGGAGUUGAGUGACUGGAUGAGGAAAAGCACAAAAGUCUUCCUGUGAGGUAAAUAUGGAACUUCAAAAAAGUUUUUGACAAAUGCCCUCGCUAAAGACUCCUGUCCUGAGAAGUCAUGAGAUGAGAGAGCCCUUUGGUGAAUCCUUGACCAAACCACCAAACUCCAACACUGCUUAACCACAAUCUCAAGCACUGGAGCUCUUGACAUGUUGAAAAAACAGCCGAAAAGCUGCCUAGAAGUUCUCCUGAUUGCUUCCGAGCAUGGGACCCUGGAACAGGAUGUGGAAUUAGGAUCAGGAGAUGAAUGCUGUGACAUGUGAAGUCCCUCCCUAACUUCCCCUUACAUACAUACAGCUUGUCAUAAAGCAUGUAGAGAAAAAGGUAAAAAUGUUCUGUUUGUUGGUGCAUAAAUUCUGGGCUAGAUAAGCAACUUGUGGCUUACCUAUCCUCAGACAUCAACAAUUAGGGCAAUUGCAUUAUCAUGAGGUUAAGACUUCCAAAGUUCAAGGCUAUGCCCACAAAAGCUCGUCAUCUAGUCCUGAGACUUAGCUGUGUUAAGUGCUGUGUUAUCAAGGGAGAGGAGAAACUACGAAAUGACCCCCUUGAAUUGCUGUGUAGAUCAUCAAGUUUGUUUUGCCUAAUAGCAAAGCUGGCUGCCUGUGCUAAUCAUCAGAGGACCAAAACAGAGAUACCCGUAAGCCAGAAAGAGAUUUGUUUUAGUCUCGGGAGGAGCCUCAGAUAUGCGGGAAAGUAGGCAGUUCCAAAUUCACCCCUCAAAGGGGGAGGAUUAACUGCUGCAGAAAGAGAAACAGGACUAUGUCUGUUCUGAGAUAGAAUCUUGACAACAUGAGGGCAGAGAGCUGGGGCUGACCUUGUUUGCCCUGAGGCUGUUAAGAUGAAGGGAAGCAAGUGGCAAACAGUCUACUGAGGAAUAGAAACUGAGAAUGAGGGGUGUGGGCAAACCUGUGUACAUCUCGUGGCUCCCUAAUUGGUAGCAAUUUACUGACCACCUAUGAAUAUAACAUUUUUACCUCUUCCACUGAUAAUGGAAGCUAUAUCAUGACAUUAAAUUUAUUUGAAUGCUUAUGGAGAAUGUUAUAAUUUACUUCCACUUAAGCAAUUUCAAAUUCUGUAACCAGGGCAACAAAGAAUCUUGUCCCACCUUAAAGGAUAAUGUAUGUAUGUAUUCUGGUAUAUGUUUUUGUGAGCUGGAUCCCACUUCUUGAGAUGCAUUCAGUCAUGAAAACCUAUGCCACAAUACAAUUGACCUUAAAGACUAAUUCAACAACCCUGCCUUUUAGUUUGAACUUCCAGCAAAUAUUGCCUAUACCCCUUGCACCUUUCUCUGCUACUGUUUUGUUAUUUGUUAAAUGACAGCUGAGCUUCUCAACAGGCAGGAUUUAUAUGACAGAUAAUUGUUUUUUUGUAUUGCUUAGUGGACUCAUAAAUACUUGAAAUAACCUGGGGUCAGUCACUGCUUCUUGGAGCUCUCUCAGUCCCACCCACCUCACAGGGUGUUUGUUGUGGGGAUAAUAAUAACAUACUUUGUAAACCGCUCUGAGUGGGCAUUAAGUUGUCCUGAAGGGCAGUAUAUAAAUCAAAUGUUGUUGUUGUUAUUAAUGCCUUCAUUUAUUAAUAUUUAUUAAUAUCUUCAUUUAGCAGUCUGAUCAACUUGUUUUCUUUUUAUAGUUCCUUGUGUUAUAUUUUCAAGAAUAAUUGCUGUCAAUAAUUUGGUAAAUUACAAGAUUAUUCCAUCCCAGCUUUAGAAAAGACUGGAGAGAACAAGCCCAGACAUCAAGUAUGUGUUGUUGUAAUAAAAGAUGGGGCUGUACACUCCAUAAUAUUAUCACAUGCUUCUGUUCUUUUGCUGCAUGUGCUGGAGAACACAUAACACUGUUAGUACUGUUGGUUCCUAUGAGUUUAAAGCUGGACUCCUUUAAAAACCCAGGAGUAAAAAACAGUCGAACAGAAUUCUAAAUAAACAUGUUUAAGUUUGUGCUGUAUAUGGGAGAUAGAAGUAUACUCUCACAGGAAGUCCUUUUAACCAAGUUUCAAGAAUAUUUUUGGUUUGGUUUAAAUGGGAUUGAUCUAGGGUUGGUUUUUAAAAUGCCAAAUGUUCUGAAUGGGUUCUCUUUCUAUAAUUCCAAUGUUUCCAUGUUCAAGGGACAGACUGCAUUAUAUUUUUUAUUUAUUUACUGUAUUUAGAGUCCAUGUUUCUCACUGCAACUCAAAGCAGAGUCUCGAUGAGUCGAUACAAAGUCCAAUCAAAGAGGUAUCUAAUAAGCAUGAUGCACGUCCGUCAGUACGUUCAAUAUGAGAAACCUAACGAACAGUUUACUAGAACUUAGAUUACCAAAAUCUGAAUAUUCAUAGCAUAGCAUAAUAGGCAUGAUACAGUGUGUGAAUGUAAUGAAGAAAAUUGGUAUUGUAUUUGACACAGGUAGUUCAAGAAACAUUAGAGACAAACUUGAAACAGCAAUUUGGGCAGGUUAAAUCAAAGGCCUCGUUUUGUUCAACCAGUUAUAAACUGAUACAUGUCUCCCAAGACUUUUUUUAAUCUGUGUGUGUGACUGUAGUCACUAGUACUGAAUACUGGGCACCGUCUUGGGGGCUCUCCCGAAUCUUGGUCCCACGUGCCAACCUGCCCCACUCAGCAGAAAGGGAGAAUGGGUCCCCAGGAACAGUCUAGUGGGCAUCUGCAGAGGGAGGGGGGAAACUGCUGGAAAUCACUGCAGCCUUAUAUGUAAGCACUGGCACUUUUCCCCCAUUGCAUUUCUCUUUGGAUUUCAUAUCAAGCCACAGCCUUGACCCCGUUGUGGUCGUAGGCAGCUAGUCCUAUAUAAAAACUAGCAGCCUCCUUUUUGCUUCAAAAGAUGCCUGCUCAGGUGAGCACUGGGAUGUUAAUGUGUGGUGACAUCAUGUUAGAAUGAUUUACUUUUUUUAUGUAGACUCAUUAUAUAACCCACCUUUCUCCUGAGUGUCUCAGUCAGGGCCCAGGGUUCUUACUAUCCUGGUACAUGUUUUUCUCCCCCUUCUCUUGCCUGUGUUUAUAGCAAAGCAGUUGCAAGUUUAAAGAUUUUUUAGACUUACUGGAGUGCUGCGUCUGGAGUGGAUAAAUGAAUACUGGCAGGUACCCCAUGUAAUAAAACAUCUUAACAGUUCAAGUCAACAGCUUCUGAUCUUGUUUCUGCGCUAUGUUUUGUAUAUUUGAUGGUAGUUAACAUUGCUUAGAACAAUUGUAAUUCUUGCUCAGUUCAUUUAUGUGAAACAGUUUUGUAUGCCCCCAAAGAUGACUCAUUUUGUAAUCUAUUUAAACAGUGUUAACUUAGCUACUGUACCAAGAGGAGAAUAUAAUUCUGUCUAUAAUAGCUUGAUACACACAAUUGCAAAGGAACUUUAAAUAUUCCAAGAGGCAGAACAACUUGUUUUUGUAGCUUUAUGCAACACACAUGAGAAGGGUUAUGAAUAAAACCACUUCGAUGCAAAUGUCAGGUCCAGUAUAUAUCUUAACUAUACUGACUCCAUUUUCUAAUGCUUUUAGUCUCUAAGUGUUUUCUCCUCA